rnacentral:lncRNA from 1 species
CAGCCAAUGAGAAUUGGGUGCUCCUGGCACCAGCCAAUUGGGUUCCUUUUCUCCAUCCUAGGAAAGAGGGAGAAGAUGCCUCUGACCCCGCCCGGGACCCGCCAGCAUUACCUUCCCCGUCAGUUCCCGAAUGGGAGAGAAUCCGACCCCGUCGAGCCCCCGGCCCACCCCUCCCGGGCGUCUUCGCGCUGCUCCUGGGGGGAUGGCGACGUGUCCUCCAUCAGCUACGAGGAGCAUCUGCGCAUCCACGGCCCCCCCGCCCCCUGGCCUGGGCUUCCUGGAGACAGCAGAGGCCCCGGGCUCCCAUCUCUGGCCAGCUGGCAGGGCCCCAGGACAGCGCGCAGUGCCACGCGGGUGUGACUGGCACGGGAGAGCCAGCGUGGGAGCCAGGCGUCCGGGAGAGCCUUAUAGGGACCUGAGUGCCAGCAAUGAACCCAGGUGUCCGGGAGGCAUCGAUAGAAUGGACUGAGCCUGUAUAGGACGAGGCUCUGUGGAGCCCCCCUGAGUGUCCCCUGGCCCUGUGCUGGCCCCG